rnacentral:lncRNA from 1 species
CUGGCAGCUGCUUAUUCUCCAGGUAUCUACCUUCGUAGUGGCUAGGCCUCCCGCUUUUCUGUAGAUACCACGGCAGGGGCUUGGACUCUGGUUUACACCAGUUCAGAUCUAUGCAAUGUUUGUCGCGUUGCUCGCCACUCUAGACUCCACAAGCAUAGAGCAUGGUCGUACAACAUCUAUAUUUUAAAGCAUCCAUCUCCCUCAGCUUCCUGAGUAUUGACACGUGUGGCCAGUAUAUCAGGCUCCACUACAGCUGAGAACGGCCUUCCUGCUGUGAUGGACUGAACCCUCAAACUACAAUCCGAAUUAGGCUCCGCCUCCUCGUUUCUUCUCGUCACCUCAGGUAGGAUCGCAGCAGUGAAACAGUAGCGGAAGUGCUGUCCUUUCACCCUCUCCGUUCUGGCCACACCCACCCACACAACCCUCGCUUGAUCUCCCUGCUAGCCCUGCCCUCUUUC